UACGUAGGGUGCGAGCGUUGUCCGGAAUUACUGGGCGUAAAGCGUGCGCAGGCGGUUUUGUAAGUCUGACGUGAAAUCCCCGGGCUCAACCUGGGAAUUGCGUUGGAGACUGCAAGGCUGGAGUCUGGCAGAGGGGGGUAGAAUUCCACGUGUAGCAGUGAAAUGCGUAGAGAUGUGGAGGAACACCGAUGGCGAAGGCAGCCCCCUGGGUCAAGACUGACGCUCAUGCACGAAAGCGUGGGGAGCAAACAGG
rnacentral:rRNA from 1 species